ensembl:lncRNA
AGCUGAAUAUGUACAAGAGGUGGCACAGCCCUGUGUUUGUGACUGGACCAGUAUCACACUCUUUGCCUGCUACAGCACUAGCCCCAUACCAGCUCUUCCAGCUCCAGCUGCCAUACAUUAAACAUAUGUCAGGGAUCUCACUGGACCCACAAUCCUCUCAAAGCCCCACUGCCAGCAAAUCAAAAGCACCGUUCUACCAGGUACUUCAGAGUGGAAAGGAAGGACAGCGAUGUUAAGCCUGUGGGAAUUGAAUGCAAGUAAAAUUCCCUCUCAGAGAACUGCACUGCCACAUUUUCAGACCACGGAAUGCCAACAAGCUGUUUUCCCCUCUGAAUAAGCCGGGCCUAUGAAGAAAAU